AUAAUAGCCUGGCAGAGGAGAUAUCAUGCCCCUAAAGGUGGUUUUACCAGGGUGAGGUUUAUUCUUUGCACUAUAGAUGUAGUGAGCCCUGCAAUUUCCCCAAGUGCAGGAAACUCAUCUGCAUAAUUUGUGGUAGUGGGGACUGCUUCACCUUC
rnacentral:snRNA from 1 species